UACGUAGGGUGCGAGCGUUAAUCGGAAUUACUGGGCGUAAAGCGUGCGCAGGCGGUUCGUUAAGUCAGAUGUGAAAUCCCCGGGCUCAACCUGGGAACUGCAUCUGUGACUGCAUAGCUAGAGUACGGUAGAGGGGGAUGGAAUUCCGCGUGUAGCAGUGAAAUGCGUAGAUAUGCGGAGGAACACCGAUGGCGAAGGCAAUCCCCUGGACCUGUACUGACGCUCAUGCACGAAAGCGUGGGGAGCAAACAGG
rnacentral:rRNA from 1 species